rnacentral:rRNA from 1 species
UACGUAGGGGGGCAAGCGUUGUCCGGAAUCAUUGGGCGUAAAGCGCGUGUAGGCGGCCAGAUAAGUCCGCUGUGAAAUCUCGAGGCUCAACUUCGAGCUGUCGGUGGAAACUGUCUGGCUAGAGUCCGGAAGAGGAGAAUGGAAUUCCUGGUGUAGCGGUGAAAUGCGCAGAUAUCAGGAAGAACACCCGUGGCGAAGGCGGUUCUCUGGGACGGUACUGACGCUGAGACGCGAAAGCGUGGGGAGCGAACAGG